GUGCUGCAUGGCUGCGCCUGGGAAUUUCAGGAGUUGCAUUCCGGGGUGUCCUGGGUGUUCCUGGUAAAGGUGUUUUCCUUGGGGUCUUGGCAGGAGUAUGAACUGAAGGCUUUCUUGAAGAUUUUGGGGUGCUGAACAUUCUGCUUGGUUUAGUUUUCUUCUCUGGUGUACAGCUCACAUCACUAUCUUCUUCCUCACUACUUGAGGAGUAAGAGCCAUCUGAGCUAGACAGAAA
rnacentral:lncRNA from 1 species